UACGUAGGGGGCAAGCGUUGUCCGGAUUUAUUGGGCGUAAAGAGCGUGUAGGCGGUCUGGUAGGUCCGUUGUGAAAACUCGAGGCUCAACCUCGAGACGCCGAUGGAAACCAUCAGACUAGAGUCCGGAAGAGGAGAGUGGAAUUCCUGGUGUAGCGGUGAAAUGCGCAGAUAUCAGGAAGAACACCCGUGGCUAAGGCGGCUCUCUAGUACGGUACUGACGCUGAGACGCGAAAGCGUGGGGAGCGAGCAGG
rnacentral:rRNA from 1 species